rnacentral:rRNA from 1 species
ACGGGAGGCAGCAGUGGGGAAUAUUGGGCAAUGGGCGAAAGCCUGACCCAGCGACGCCGCGUGAAGGAAGAAGGUCUUCGGAUUGUAAACUUCUUUUAUAUGGGACGAAGAACGUGACGAUACCUGGAGAAAAAGCAACGGCUAACUACGUGCCAGCAGCCGCGGUAAUACGUAGGUUGCAAGCGUUGUCCGGAUUUACUGGGUGUAAAGGGCGUGUAGGCGGAGCUGCAAGUCAGAUGUGAAAUCCCGGGGCUCAACCCCGGAACUGCAUUUGAAACUGUAGCCCUUGAGUAUCGGAGAGGCAAGCGGAAUUCCUAGUGUAGCGGUGAAAUGCGUAGAUAUUAGGAGGAACACCAGUGGCGAAGGCGGCUUACUGGACUGUAACUGACGUUGAGGCUCGAAAGCGUGGGGAGCAAACAGGAUUAGAUACCCUGGUA